rnacentral:tRNA from 1 species
GGCUGCGUAGCUCAGUCGGUUAGAGCGUGGCACUCAUAACGCCAAGGUCGUUGGUUCGAUCCCAACCGCAGCUA